UACGUAGGGCGCAAGCGUUGUCCGGAAUUAUUGGGCGUAAAGAGCUCGUAGGCGGUUUGUCGCGUCUGCUGUGAAAACUCGAGGCUCAACCUCGGGCUUGCAGUGGGUACGGGCAGACUAGAGUGCGGUAGGGGUGACUGGAAUUCCUGGUGUAGCGGUGGAAUGCGCAGACUAUCAGGAGGAACACCGAGUGGCGAAGGCAGGUCACUGGGCCGCAACUGACGCUGGAG
rnacentral:rRNA from 1 species